AUUCCUUCCUUUCUUA
rnacentral:tRNA from 1 species